rnacentral:rRNA from 1 species
GAUGAACGCUGGCGGCGUGCCUAACACAUGCAAGUCGAGCGAUGAAACCGCCUCCGGGCGGACAUGAAGCGGCGAACGGGUGAGUAACACGUGACCGACCUGCCCCCCGCCCAGGGACAGCCCCCCGAAAGGGGGAUUAAUACCUGGUACUCCGGCAAGGACGCAUGUCCUGGCCGGGAAAGCCUUGGCGGCGGGGGAUGGGGUCGCGGCCCAUCAGGUAGACGGCGGGGCAGAGGCCCACCGUGCCGACGACGGGUAGCCGGGUUGAGAGACCGACCGGCCACAUUGGGACUGAGAUACGGCCCAGACUCCUACGGGAGGCAGCAGUGGGGAAUUUUGCGCAAUGGGGGCAACCCUGACGCAGCAACGCCGCGUGCGGGACGAAGGCGUCCGCGUCGUAAACCGCUUUCAGCGGGGAACACUUCAACGAGGGUACCCGCAGAAGAAGCCCCGGCUAAAUACGUGCCAGCCGCCGCGGUAACAC